ensembl:snRNA U6 U6 spliceosomal RNA
GUGCUUGCUUUGGCAGUACAUAUACUAAAAUUGGAAUGAUACAGAGACAAUUAGCAUGGCCCCUGCUCAAGGAUGACAUGCAAAUUCAUGAGGCUUUCCAUAUUAAA